CAGUAGCCGCGGUAAUACGUAGGUGGCAAGCGUUGUCCGGAAUUAUUGGGCGUAAAGGGCUCGCAGGCGGUUUCUUAAGUCUGAUGUGAAAGCCCCCGGCUCAACCGGGGAGGGUCAUUGGAAACUGGGAAACUUGAGUGCAGAAGAGGAGAGUGGAAUUCCACGUGUAGCGGUGAAAUGCGUAGAGAUGUGGAGGAACACCAGUGGCGAAGGCGACUCUCUGGUCUGUAACUGACGCUGAGGAGCGGAAGCGUGGGGAGCGAACAGGAUUAGAUACCCGCGUAGUCCCUGUCUCUUAUAC
rnacentral:rRNA from 1 species